AGAGUUUGAUCCUGGCUCAGGAUGAACUCUGGCGGCGUGCUUAACACAUGCAAGUCGAACGGAGCGCCGGACACGGACUAUUUCGGUAGGAAGCGUGCGGAGGCUUAGUGGCGGACGGGUGAGUAACGCGUGGAUAACCUGCCGCAUACCGGGGGAUAACAGCUGGAAACAGCUGCUAAUACCGCAUAUGCCCGCAGUGCUGCAUGGCACAGCGGGGAAAACUCCGGUGGUAUGCGAUGGGUCCGCGUCUGAUUAGGCAGUUGGCGGGGUAACGGCCCACCAAACCGACGAUCAGUAGCCGGCCUGAGAGGGCGGACGGCCACACUGGGACUGAGACACGGCCCAGACUCCUGCGGGAGGCAGCAGUGGGGAAUAUUGCACAAUGGGGGAAACCCUGAUGCAGCGACGCCGCGUGAAGGAAGAAGUAUCUCGGUAUGUAAACUUCUAUCAGCAGGGAAGAAAACAGACGGUACCUGACUAAGAAGCCCCGGCUAACUACGUGCCAGCAGCCGCGGUAAUACGUAGGGGGCAAGCGUUAUCCGGAUUUACUGGGUGUAAAGGGGGCGCAGACGGCCAUGGCAAGCCCGGUGUGAAAGGCAGGGGCAUAACCCCUGGACUGCACUGGGAACUGUCAGGCUGGAGUGCCGGAGGGGUAAGCGGAAUUCCUGGUGUAGCGGUGAAAUGCGUAGAUAUCAGGAGGAACACCGGCGGCGAAGGCGGCUUACUGGACGGCAACUGACGUUGAGGCCCGAAAGCGUGGGGAGCGAACAGGAUUAGAUACCCUGGUAGUCCACGCCGUAAACGAUG
rnacentral:rRNA from 1 species